UACGGAGGGUGCGAGCGUUAUCCGGAUUCACUGGGUUUAAAGGGUGCGUAGGUGGGAAUGUAAGUCAGUGGUGAAAUCUCUGAGCUUAACUCAGAAACUGCCAUUGAUACUAUGUUUCUUGAAUUUUCUGGAGGUCAGCGGAAUAUGUCAUGUAGCGGUGAAAUGCUUAGAUAUGACAUAGAACACCAAUUGCGUAGGCAGCUUACUAGACGAUCAUUGACGCUGAGGCACGAAAGCGUGGGGAGCAGACAGG
rnacentral:rRNA from 1 species